GGCCGCGUGGCCCAAUGGCAAGGCGUCUGACUACGACUGUUCGCCCUGAGGCGAUCGUGUGUAAAUCAGGAGAUCGUGGGUUCGAGCCCCAUCGUGGUCA
rfam:Rhodotorula graminis WP1 unplaced genomic scaffold RHOBAscaffold_21, whole genome shotgun sequence.